GACGAACGCUGGCGGCGUGCUUAACACAUGCAAGUCGAACGAUGAAGCCGGAGCUUGCUCUGGUGAAUUAGUGGCGAACGGGUGAGUAACACGUGAGUAACCUGCCCUUGACUCUGGGAUAACUGCGGGAAACUGUAGCUAAUACCGGAUACGACCCUCGGAGGCAUCUCCUGGGGGUGGAAAGAAUUUCGGUCAAGGAUGGACUCGCGGCCUAUCAGCUAGUUGGUGAGGUAAAGGCUCACCAAGGCGACGACGGGGAGCCGGCCUGAGAGGGUGACCGGCCACACGGGGACUGAGACACGGCCCAGACUCCUACGGGAGGCAGCAGUGGGGAAUAUUGCACAAUGGGCGCAAGCUUGAUGCAGCAACGCCGCGUGAGGGAUGACGGCCUUCGGGUUGUAAACCUCUUUUAGCAGGGAAGAAGCGAAAGUGACGGUACCUGCAGAAAAAGCACCGGCUAACUACGUGCCAGCCGCCGCCGUAA
rnacentral:rRNA from 1 species